UGNGAUUCAGCCUCUAGUUCCCAGCUAAGC
rnacentral:piRNA from 1 species